UAAAGUGCCUAAAUUUAUACAGCAUGAGAGCACGCACUUAGUCCUGCUGCUGAGACAUGAGGGGCCAGAACAGAGGCUGAAAGUUGAUGUUGGGUACCUUCUUCAAUAACUCGAGAGGUGGAGAGAAGAACAAACAGUGGGAGAUGAGGGGCCUUGAAUGAAAGAUCCAAGGGCCUCUCACAGCUCCCUGGAAUUGCCACAUUCAACCUUGUAGCACACUGGUUCAGCACAGAAAUGAGGAUUGGCUAAGCUGUGCCCCAGGAAGCAAGUCUGUACAGACUUCCCCAUAACAAGGAUCUCUCAAACGGAUUCUCUGAGCUCUAAGGGGAAGAAUUUGAUGGAAAUCCGGCUGUGGGUCUCUGCAUCUGUUCCCAUCUGCUGCCAGAGGAAGCCUUUCUGAUGAUUUCUA
rnacentral:lncRNA from 1 species